UUGCUUAAUUGAGUGCGCAAAGUCCAUUUCUGCAUUCAUUUCAUGCAAAAAUAACUCUGACUCAGUCCGACACUCUCCAUAUGUGUCGACCAGUCACUAAUACUGAAACCAAUCCGAUACCAAACCCCCGGGACACUACAGACAAUUUAAUAAUAUUGUGUUAUUUAACUAAAAUAUACUUUCUAAUAUUAAUUAUAAAUUAAAUAUAAUAUUAACUACCCACCGCAUUGCGCGGGUACCUUAACUGGUAAACUUUAAAAUAGAAAGAGUAUUAAUUCUACAAUUUUACAUAACGAAUAAUUUUAUAACUAGCGUUGCUAAAUUUACUGUUGAUGUUUGGGCAAGAAAAAAUUUUCAUUUUAAAUUUUUAUAAUAAAUUUUUAUAAUAAACAAAAGUAAUAUGAAAUGUAGGAAUAAGUUAGCUGAUUGAUAACAUUAAGAAAAUAUUAGUUUAGAAUUUAAAUUUGUUAUCUUCUAAUAUUAAGAAAAAUAGCCGGUGU
rnacentral:lncRNA from 1 species